CCUACGGGUGGCAGCAGUGGGGAAUAUUGGACAAUGGGGGCAACCCUGACCCAGCCAUGCCGCGUGUGUGAAGAAGGCCCUCGGGUUGUAAAGCACUUUCAGUGAGGAAGAACGCCUGGUGGUUAAUACCCAUCAGGAAAGACAUCACUCACAGAAGAAGCACCGGCUAACUCCGUGCCAGCAGCCGCGGUAAUACGGAGGGUGCGAGCGUUAAUCGGAAUUACUGGGCGUAAAGCGCGCGUAGGUGGCUUGAUAAGCCGGUUGUGAAAGCCCCGGGCUCAACCUGGGAACGGCAUCCGGAACUGUCAAGCUAGAGUGCAGGAGAGGAAGGUAGAAUUCCCGGUGUAGCGGUGAAAUGCGUAGAGAUCGGGAGGAAUACCAGUGGCGAAGGCGGCCUUCUGGACUGACACUGACACUGAGGUGCGAAAGCGUGGGUAGCAAACAGGAUUAGAUACCCUAGUAGUC
rnacentral:rRNA from 1 species